GUCACGCAGCUAACGCGAUAAGUACCCCGCCUGGGGAGUACGGCCGCAAGGCUAAAACUCAAAGGAAUAGACGGGGACCCGAACAAGCGGUGGAGCAUGUGGUUUAAUUCGAAGAUACACGAAGAACCUUACCUAGCCUUGAUAUCCUUGGAAUCUCUCAGAGAUGAGAGAGUGCUAGUUUACUAGAACCAAGUGACAGGUGCUGCACGGCUGUCGUCAGCUCGUGUCGUGAGAUGUUGGGUUAGGUCCCGCAACGAGCGCAACCCUCGUCCUUAGUUGCUAACAGUUCGGCUGAGCACUCUAAGGAGACUGCCUGGGUAACCAGGAGGAAGGUGGGGACGACGUCAAGUCAUCAUGGCCCUUAUGGCUAGGGCUACACACGUGCUACAAUGGGGGGGACAAAGAGAAGCAAUACCGCGAGGUGGAGCAAAUCUUAAAACCCUCUCUCAGUUCGGAUUGGAGUCUGCAACUCGACUCCAUGAAGCUGGAAUCGCUAGUAGUCGUAGAUCAGAUAUGCUACGGUGAAUACGUUCCCGGGUCUUGUACUCACCGCCCGUCACACCAUGGGAGUUGAUUUCACCCGAAGCCGGAAUACUAAAUUAGUUACCGACCACGGUGGGAUUAGCAACUGGGGUGAAGUCGUAACAAGGUA
rnacentral:rRNA from 1 species